GAAAUGUGAUAAGUAAUGUGAAUUGCAGAAUUCAGUGAAUCAUCGAAUCUUUGAACGCACCUUGCGCUCCUUGGUAUUCCUUGGAGCAUGCCUGUUUGAGUAUCUUGAAAUCUUCAAAGUAAAUCUUUUGUUAACUCAAUUGGUUUCUACUUUGGUAUUGGAGGUCUUUGCAGCUUCACACCUGCUCCUCUUUGUUCAUUAGCUGGAUCUCAGUGUUAUGCUUUGUUCCACUCGGCGUGAUAAGUUAUCUAUCGCUGAGGACACUGUAAAAGGUGGCCAAUGUAAAUGCAGAUGAACCGCUUCUAAUAGUCCAUUGACUUGGACAAUACUUUUAUGAUCUGAUCUCAAAUCAGGUAGGACUACCCGCUGAACUUAAGC
rnacentral:misc_RNA from 1 species